rnacentral:rRNA from 1 species
ACUCAAAUGAAUUGACGGGGACCCGCACAAGCAGCGGAGCAUGUGGUUUAAUUCGACGCAACGCGAAGAACCUUACCUGGGCUUGACAUAUGCCUGACCCCCCUGGAAACAGGGGUUCCCUUCGGGGCAGGUAUACAGGUGGUGCAUGGCUGUCGUCAGCUCGUGUCGUGAGAUGUUGGGUUGAGUCCCGCAACGAGCGCAACCCCCGUCCUAUGUUGCCAGCGAGUAAUGUCGGGGACUCAUAGGAGACUGCCGGUGACAAACCGGAGGAAGGUGGGGAUGACGUCAAGUCAUCAUGCCCCUUAUGUCCAGGGCUACACACGUGCUACAUUGGCUGGUACAAAGGGCUGCGAUACCGCGAGGUGGAGCUAAUCCCAUAAAGCCAGUCUCGGUUCGGAUUGUAGGCUGAAACUCGCCUACAUGAAGGUGGAGUUGCUAGUAAUCCCGGAUCAGCAUUGCCGGGGUGAAUACGUUCCCGGGUCUUGCACACACCGCCCGU